UACGUAGGUGGCAAGCGUUGUCCGGAAUUAUUGGGCGUAAAGCGCGCGCAGGCGGUUUUGUAAGUCUGAUGUUAAAGCCCGGGGCUCAACCUCGGGUCGCAUUGGAAACUGCGUAACUUGAGUGCAGAAGAGGAAAGUGGUAUUCCACGUGUAGCGGUGAAAUGCGUAGAUAUGUGGAGGAACACCAGUGGCGAAGGCGACUUUCUGGUCUGUAACUGAAGCUGAGGCGCGAAAGCGUGGGGAGCAAACAGG
rnacentral:rRNA from 1 species